rnacentral:rRNA from 1 species
GCUUGUCUCAAAGAUUAAGCCAUGCAUGUCUAAGUGUAAAUAAGUCUAUACUGUGAAACUGCGAAUGGCUCAUUAAAUCAGUUAUCGUUUAUUUGAUGAUCUCUUACUACUUGGAUAACCGUAGUAAUUCUAGAGCUAAUACAUGCACAAAAUCCCGACUUACGAAGGGAUGUAUUUAUUAGAUAACAGACCAAUGCCCCCCCGGGCUUUGUGGUGACUCAUAGUAACUAAUCGGAUCGCAUGGGCCUGUCCCGCGACAAACCAUUCAAGUUUCUGCCCCAUCAGCUUUCGAUGGUAGUGUAUUGGACUACCAUGGCUUUUACGGGUAACGGAGGAUUAGGGUUCGAUUCCGGAGAGGGAGCCUGAGAAACGGCUACCACAUCUAAGGAAGGCAGCAGG